rnacentral:pre_miRNA from 1 species
AGUGGGAUAACUGGGACAAAUGGUGGUUCCAUUCCAAGUUUUCUGAGGAAUCUCCAUACUGCUUUUACAGAAUUGUUGUACCAAUUUGCAAUCCCACCAGCAGU